rnacentral:rRNA from 1 species
AUGGACGUGCACCACCCGCCGAAUGCGGCGGCGGCGGCGGCGGCGGCCGCCGCCGCCCUCGGCGACAUGUUCCCCCAGGAGCCCGCCAUGGAAAGUGAAGACAGCAGCACAGAGUGGCUCUCCAUCUAUUUAGGGGACUGCUUGACUAACCCUGCAUCCUACCCUGUCUCCGAAGAACAAGCAUCUGUAAACCCGAACCUGCCACAUCCUUCAUCUUCCAAUCCCAGAAGAAAGAAGAGAAGCCUGGCCUCUGUUAUAAGAGAUAGCGAUGAAGAAUAUUUCCUGAUUGUUGAGCCACCGCUACUACUUGAUCAGAAGCAUUGGCUAGCAGAGAGUGAGCUCAUCCUCCCCAAGAAAGACAAGGACCAAGAACUUGUCCAAAAACUGGAGCAGGAACACGGGGAAGCAUAUAAGCCCUACACUGUGCAGUUCAAGCAAGAGCAGGCGGUGAUGAGGUGUAGCAUUUGUUUGUCCAACUCCAACCAAACACCGCAGCAGUGGCAGGGCGGUCCGUCAGGGGCAUUAUUGUGCAACACGUGUAGCCUGAGGCUCAAGGCAGGGAACGGGUUCAUCAAACUGGAGCGCUGCGGCCAACAAGUUGACGAAGAGCAAGAUCAUGGAAGGGGGCAGGAUAAGAGGAAGAUCAAGAAGACCACAUAUUACGGAGAUGACGAGGAGCCUCCGCAGGAGAAGAGGAGGAUCAAGAAGACUUCAUUUGUAGAUGAGCAGGGCAAGAGGAGGACCAAGAAGACGUAUGUGAACGAGGAGGUCCCACUGGAGGAGCCAGUGAAGCGGUGCACCCAUUGCCUGUCCCACACGACGCCACAGUGGAGGAGCGGCCCUCUAGGGCCCAAGACCCUAUGCAACGCGUGCGGCGUGAGGUACAAGUCCGGCAGGCUGCUGCCGGAGUACAGGCCCGUCAACAGCCCAACCUUCGUGAGCUUCAUGCACUCCAAUUCCCACAAGAAGGUGAUGCAGAUGAGGAAGAGUGUCGAGAACGAGCACGAGCACGAGUACUCGCACUCGGAUAUGUGA